rnacentral:misc_RNA from 1 species
GUCACGGGUCGGUUGUAGGCGAAAGGGUACUUGGCCUUGUUCUUUGCUCAACCUAUGGUGAUACUCAAUACAAGUUCAUAAGGGAGCUCACAACCUGUGUAGAGAAUUAGAAAUAAAAGAAAAGACUGAAAUCUUCCUCCCUGUUUAUUCUUAUUCCAUCCUAUGUAUAAAUACACAAAUAGUGGGUUCUUAUUUUUAGGAAUUACAAUUGAUUGCUUAAUUGGCUCAUAUAAUUCAGAAAUUUAAAUUUAAAACAUAGGAACUAUUUACUGCAUAAUUCCUGCAAAGGACAUCCCGAAAUAAUUGACUGGUCCUCGUUGAUUCCUGCUUGUCAUGCUUGGAGGAUGGGACACCUGCUUCUGGAGUAAGAUCAGGUGACCAAAUGACAUACUACUGACCUUGCAGUUGCUGGCCUUCAACCCGGUUGCCCUGGAUGAGUGCUACCUAUCCUUCGAUUGACCAGUCCUCCCUUUCUACCCUGCCUGCUAUAUGCUUGACCCCAGCACCUAUCUGUUGCUAGGCAUGUAUUAGAUUUCAUGGGUAUUGCUGAUAUAGAGUGUUGGAGCUAUUAUGCAGAGUAUUUGCUCCUACUAUUGUGCCCUUUGGGUAUGGUGUUAAGGGAGUUUAUUCAGGAUCAAUAUAAUGUUUAAAAUUUAAAUCAGCUGAUAUGUAUGCUUUUGUUAAUAUGAGUAGCAUAAUCAAUCUAUGUCAAGCUAUCCAUCUGACCAAAUCUACCUCUCUGGACAAAUUUUGUUUUAAGAUCUCUGUGUGUGUGGGGUUGUGUAGUGAUUCCUUUGUAACUCUACUUACAUGAUUGUUCUUCACAUGUUUGAUUGCUAACUUUGAUGGUUUUCUUGUUCUCAGUGUAUAAUAA